GCUCGCUGUGAUCGUCUAGCUGCCGUGCUCUCCCUUCGAAAAACCCUCCCCCCUCCUCCUCCUCCUCCAACUCAGCAUCACUCCGAUGGGAAGCACUGCGAACGGAUCGUGCGCUCCGACGGAGGGAGUGGCUGCCGCCGGCGCCACCGUGGACAAGGAGGUUGACUUCGCUAACUACUUCUGCACCUACGCGUUCCUCUACCAUCAGAAGGAGAUGCUUGCCGACCGCGUGCGUAUGGACGCGUACUUUAACGCCGUCUUCCAGAACAAGCACCACUUCAAGGGAAAAGUUGUGUUGGAUGUCGGCACAGGAAGCGGCAUCCUUGCUAUCUGGUGCGCGCAAGCCGGUGCGAGGAGGGUUUAUGCAGUCGAAGCUACAAAUAUGGCGGUACAUGCUCGUGAGCUUGCCAAAGGAAAUGACGUUGGUGAUAUUGUUGAAGUUAUUCAAGGGUCGAUGGAGGAGGUUGUGCUUCCGGAGAAAGUGGAUGUUAUCAUCUCUGAGUGGAUGGGAUAUUUUCUUCUCAGGGAGUCAAUGUUUGACUCUGUAAUAUGUGCACGUGACCGAUGGCUGAAACCUGAUGGAGUAAUGUAUCCUAGCCAUGCUCAAAUGUGGAUGGCACCAAUCAGAUCUGGUAUAGGAGAAAAAAAGGAAAAUGAUCUUGAAUCCGCAAUGAGUGAUUGGAAUAACUUUGUUGAAGAUACUGAAAGCUAUUAUGGGGUUAAUAUGAAUGUGCUGACAAAACAAUUCCGGGAAGAGCAUGAGAAAUACUAUUUGAAGACAUCAUUGUGGUGUAAUCUUCAUCCUGAACAAAUUGUGGGUGCUCCAGUGGUUAUCAAGCAAAUUGAUUGUUUGACUGCUACUGUAGAUGAAAUUCGCACAGUUUCCUCAAAGUUCUCGUCAUCUAUUUAUGUAGACAGGACAAGGUUGUCUGCCUUAGCUGGGUGGUUUGAUGUUCACUUCCGAGGUAACCCACAAAAUCCAGCAUUGAAUGAAAUUGAGUUGACCACAGCUCCCAGUGUUGAGAACUCCACACAUUGGGGUCAACAGGUAUUCCUUUUGCAACCCGCUCUCAGAGUCAAUGAGGGAGAUGUAUUCGAAACUUCCUUUUCCAUGCAUCGCUCGAAGGAAAAUCAUCGGCUUAUGAAUGUAGAUCUAACAUAUGAAUUGAAGCUGGCAUCUGGAAAUCAAGUUCCACCUUGCAGUUCUAAGUACUAUGUAGAAUGAGGCAGGGUUCAAACAGUUUUUGGAACACAGGACUGUUGCCUCUACUGUGAAGGCAGCAUUGCUGAGGUCAAUCGAAUGCGAGAUGUGUGUGCAUGCUUGUAUUUGUUUAGAUUGUGAGUGUUUGUUGGAAUGUGAACAAUUGCUGAGCAAAGGUGAAGGCAUUCUUGCUGGUGAUCAGGCUGCAAGAAAAAUAGCUUAUCACACAGUCAAGCCACAAGCAGCUGCUUCCUAAGGGUAACAAGUUGUGUUUCGCAUAUUCUUCAAGUUAUUAAUUUCAUCGACACAACAAUUGUGUUGAAAAAUAAUUUUUAUAAUAUAAUGGCAUCAUAAGGUUGUCAA